rnacentral:rRNA from 1 species
UACUCCUGACUGACCGAUAGUGAACCAGUACCGUGAGGGAAAGGCGAAAAGAACCCCGGCGAGGGGAGUGAAAAAGAACCUGAAACCGUGUACGUACAAGCAGUGGGAGCCUCUUAAUGGGGUGACUGCGUACCUUUUGUAUAAUGGGUCAGCGACUUAUAUUCUGUAGCAAGGUUAACCGAAUAGGGGAGCCGAAGGGAAACCGAGUCUUAACUGGGCGUUAAGUUGCAGGGUAUAGACCCGAAACCCGGUGAUCUAGCCAUGGGCAGGUUGAAGGUUGGGUAACACUAACUGGAGGACCGAACCGACUAAUGUUGAAAAAUUAGCGGAUGACUUGUGGCUGGGGGUGAAAGGCCAAUCAAACCGGGAGAUAGCUGGUUCUCCCCGAAAGCUAUUUAGGUAGCGCCUCGUGAAUUCAUCUCCGGGGGUAGAGCACUGUUUCGGCAAGGGGGUCAUCCCGACUUACCAACCCGAUGCAAACUGCGAAUACCGGAGAAUGUUAUCACGGGAGACACACGGCGGGUGCUAACGUCCGUCGUGAAGAGGGAAACAACCCAGACCGCCAGCUAAGGUCCCAAAGUCAUGGUUAAGUGGGAAACGAUGUGGGAAGGCCCAGACAGCCAGGAUGUUGGCUUAGAAGCAGCCAUCAUUUAAAGAAAGCGUAAUAGCUCACUGGUCGAGUCGGCCUGCGCGGAAGAUGUAACGGGGCUAAACCAUGCACCGAAGCUGCGGCAGCGACACUAUGUGUUGUUGGGUAGGGGAGCGUUCUGUAAGCCUGUGAAGGUGGCCUGUGAGGGUUGCUGGAGGUAUCAGAAGUGCGAAUGCUGACAUAAGUAACGAUAAAGCGGGUGAAAAGCCCGCUCGCCGGAAGACCAAGGGUUCCUGUCCAACGUUAAUCGGGGCAGGGUGAGUCGACCCCUAAGGCGAGGCCGAAAGGCGUAGUCGAUGGGAAACAGGUUAAUAUUCCUGUACUUGGUGUUACUGCGAAGGGGGGACGGAGAAGGCUAUGUUGGCCGGGCGACGGUUGUCCCGGUUUAAGCGUGUAGGCUGGUUUUCCAGGCAAAUCCGGAAAACCAAGGCUGAGGCGUGAUGACGAGGCACUACGGUGCUGAAGCGACAAAUGCCCUGCUUCCAGGAAAAGCCUCUAAGCAUCAGGUAACAUCAAAUCGUACCCCAAACCGACACAGGUGGUCAGGUAGAGAAUACCAAGGCGCUUGAGAGAACUCGGGUGAAGGAACUAGGCAAAAUGGUGCCGUAACUUCGGGAGAAGGCACGCUGAUAUGUAGGUGAAGCGACUUGCUCGUGGAGCUGAAAUCAGUCGAAGAUACCAGCUGGCUGCAACUGUUUAUUAAAAACACAGCACUGUGCAAACACGAAAGUGGACGUAUACGGUGUGACGCCUGCCCGGUGCCGGAAGGUUAAUUGAUGGGGUUAGCGGUAACGCGAAGCUCUUGAUCGAAGCCCCGGUAAACGGCGGCCGUAACUAUAACGGUCCUAAGGUAGCGAAAUUCCUUGUCGGGUAAGUUCCGACCUGCACGAAUGGCGUAAUGAUGGCCAGGCUGUCUCCACCCGAGACUCAGUGAAAUUGAACUCGCUGUGAAGAUGCAGUGUACCCGCGGCAAGACGGAAAGACCCCGUGAACCUUUACUAUAGCUUGACACUGAACAUUGAGCCUUGAUGUGUAGGAUAGGUGGGAGGCUUUGAAGUGUGGACGCCAGUCUGCAUGGAGCCGACCUUGAAAUACCACCCUUUAAUGUUUGAUGUUCUAACGUUGGCCCGUAAUCCGGGUUGCGGACAGUGUCUGGUGGGUAGUUUGACUGGGGCGGUCUCCUCCUAAAGAGUAACGGAGGAGCACGAAGGUUGGCUAAUCCUGGUCGGACAUCAGGAGGUUAGUGCAAUGGCAUAAGCCAGCUUGACUGCGAGCGUGACGGCGCGAGCAGGUGCGAAAGCAGGUCAUAGUGAUCCGGUGGUUCUGAAUGGAAGGGCCAUCGCUCAACGGAUAAAAGGUACUCCGGGGAUAACAGGCUGAUACCGCCCAAGAGUUCAUAUCGACGGCGGUGUUUGGCACCUCGAUGUCGGCUCAUCACAUCCUGGGGCUGAAGUAGGUCCCAAGGGUAUGGCUGUUCGCCAUUUAAAGUGGUACGCGAGCUGGGUUUAGAACGUCGUGAGACAGUUCGGUCCCUAUCUGCCGUGGGCGCUGGAGAACUGAGGGGGGCUGCUCCUAGUACGAGAGGACCGGAGUGGACGCAUCACUGGUGUUCGGGUUGUCAUGCCAAUGGCACUGCCCGGUAGCUAAAUGCGGAAGAGAUAAGUGCUGAAAGCAUCUAAGCACGAAACUUGCCCCGAGAUGAGUUCUCCCUGAGACUUAGAGUCUCCUGAAGGAACGUUGAAGACGACGACGUUGAUAGGCCGGGUGUGUAAGCGCAGCGAUGCGUUGAGCUAACCGGUACUAAUGAACCGUGAGGCUUAACCUUACAACGCCGAAG